CUACAUUUACAUUAUAUAUUUUCAUAUAUCUACAUCCAUAUCUAUAUAUCAUGGUAGAGAGGAUUUUAUAAUCCCAUCAAACCAACAAAAGAAAUAAAGGAAAACAUAGUGCAUUACUAGGUACGUGUCCAAAGGACAUGUAGGUUAGCCAAACAAGCUCUCAAUGGCCAAGGAGGGACCAAACUUGAGCACUAAAAUAACCAACACAGUUGUCUUCUUCACUUUCUGGUCUAUGAGACACAAUACCACACACACGAUUUAAAGGAGGAGAGCUUUAUUGACUCUCAGUUUCAGCUCUUGGUCAGCUAGUUUCAAAGCAGAAAAGAUGUAGUGGAAAUAUCUAGGCAGGGAAAGCUGCUCCUACCAUGGGGACCAGGAAGCUGAGGGGGAGACAGGAGCCCCUGUACUGAGAGGUCUUGAGGUCCACUGCAGCCAUGUUCAGAAGUGGGGCCUAGAGAAGUGAGUGGAUUAUGAGCAUGCUGACCUCAUAAUAAGCCAUUGGUGAACUCACAGCUGAGUGGGCUGUAGGAGGUGGAGAUCUGUUGGAGGAAGUAGGUGCUUGAGGAGGGGGUGUGCCUUUUAAGGAGAUUAUUUCAUCCCCAGCUCCUUCCUGUCUGAUUUUUCCCCCUACUAUCUCUGUUUUCUGACUACCAUGAGGUGAGCAGCUUUCCUCCGCCAUGCCUGUCUGCCAUGAUGUUUCUGCCUUGGAGCCAGCCAACCAUGGACUGAAGCCUCUGCAACCACAGUCACAACAAAACCUCUUCUCCUUUAAGCUGUGGAUGUCAGGACACGGAGGCAGCCAGAACAGUGCAAUUAAAGCCAUUCAGGAAAGAGGACUUCCAGAACUGCUUCAGAAAGUGGCAUGAACCAUAGGAUAAGUGUGUUCAAAUGUCCUGAGUAGAUGAGAAUGUGGAAGAACAUCUGUGGACUCCACCCAUUCAAUGCUAGUACCACUACCGGCCUAUGCUAUGUCCCACCAAAGAUAUCUUUAGAUGACCCUCGGUGUCUAUUGGAGAUGAAAAUAGCCCUUAUGGAGAACCUUCACUCUAAAACAAUGAUGAAUUAAAAAAAAAAAAAGAAGAAGCAUGCCCCAUCUUUCCAUCUGUACCACACUAAAAACUGUCCCUGGUAAUGAUUCUCUCUGGAGUUACCAUGGAAGUUUUUUGCAUCCAUGUAGUAAACAGCUAUAGGUGCUUCAUAGAAUGUUUAGCUAUCCACAUUCUCCCGCAGAAUAUCUGCAUGAAGAUUCCUUUUUCAUUAUGAUGAGUGAAAUGGUCCCUCCGCCCUUGGUAAUACUCAUGACCCUGGGUUCAGAUGAAGGUUGAGGGUGUUCACAGACACCUGCCACGAAGCUAACCUUUGGUUGGCUGGUCACGCACUGCCACUGUCUCGACGUUCCUCGUGUUCCUUCACCUUCCCUGGUUGACCUGUAGUCUCUGAGAUAUUCUUCCAAGUUACAUCAGUGCCACUUCUGCCCAUGAGCUUAUUUCUCCAAAAACCCUCCCUAAGAAAUAUUAUUUGUCCUUCCAGGGCUGGGAGUGGUGACGUCCACUGCCCCUGCUCUCCAAGCCCCUAGACCUUCUAACAGCUCUUAAUUUGUUCACUUCUCAUGACAGUAAUCUGAGUGAGUGUGUGUUUGUGUGUGUGUGUGUGUGUGGAUGCACAUCUUCUCCACUAGAUUAUAAGUUCCAUCUGUGUAUAUGCCCCAAUGCCUCCUUUAAUAAAUGUUAGUUUCACACUGUCAGCACAAC
ensembl:lncRNA